GGAGUGGCAGGCGCCGCGUCCAGAGAGCUCCAGCCUUGGAGCUGCGGAGGCGGGGCUUGCGGGCAGCUCCCGAGACCGACUCGGAGCUGAUUGGCUCGGUCCGCGGCCUCCAGGUCGGGGCGUGGGAGCGCGCGGGACGCUGGAGGGAGCACCGUGGAGUCUGGGCCGUCGAAGCUCCCUCCGCCAGACAGAGUGGGGACCGGCCGUGGAGAAGAGGGCGGAGGGAACUACGGGGAAGACUUAUUUUCCACCCGGUUCAGGCGCCCUCGGCGCCCCCCCACCCCCCCAGGAUCGCCUGGGCUCCUCCUCCCAGGCCUCCGCGACGCUCUGCAAAUGCGAGCUGCUCGCCGCACAGCUGCCCUAGGACGCGCUCCUGCCUCCCUCUCGGAAUGGGACCGCGUGUGAGCGCCUGGGGUGUGGAGGAGCAGGGGCUGCAGCCUCCAUUCCAGCAGAUCCGGCUCCUGAAACACCUGCCCCUGUAAUUAAUCCUUCCUUCCCUGAUUCCCCAGGCAAAGCUGGAAAAUAAAAUCCCGGAAUAUGGGCCCCGCCCCCAAGUGCGCUCCACUCCAGGCCAGGCGGGAGUCAGUGGGGUGCCUUCCAGCACUGGGGGCUCCACAGGGAAAUGGGAGCCCUCGCUGGGCCUCGCAUCUCCACCCCCAACUCCCGGGAAUGUCCUGCCUACACUUUGAUGGCAAAAAGGUGAAAGAUGCAAAUGCUGCUGAUACCUAUUCAGCUGACUUCACCCAAAUGCCCUGGGAAUUUCCUCCCUCCCUGCUAUCUGGGCAGAGGGGUGCUGUGGCCCCUGCUGACUCACUUUUGCUGGCUACCACCUCGCCCUAAUAAGGUGAUCCAAUGACCAGGGACCUUCAACUUUUACUCUUUAACCUGAACCUCUUUUCCUACCAGAGGCUGCUUUCUGACUUUGGGGGUAGGGUGUGAUCAUUGGUCAACAUGUUUUCAACCUUGUCUCAUCACCCAUUAACUGAGGAAGGGACAAGCAAAUCACCUGCCCUCUGACCCUCAUCCCUACCCCUAAUUUCAACUCCUUUCUCCUUUCUUCUGUUCCCCAAAAUCUCUUGCAAGUUGCAGUGAAGGGGGGGGGGUAGAGUUGGGGAGACGAAAUCCACUCCUAAUGGGACAGAAUUACUGAGGGCUGAGGGUUGAUGUGUCAGAGCUUCCAGAGAAACAUAGCACUCUGACUUCCUGCAGCGCGGACCUAGGGACUGCUGCCCCAGACCCCAACAGAGCGAACCUCUAGUAGGCCUACAGGACACCCUGCCUCCAUGAAGGCCUGCACCAGGCGUCCCCCAUGCACUUGUCCCCUCCUCCCCAUCUCUCCAACGUGUUUACUCCAACAUGGUCCACCCCAAUGUCCCUCCACAGUCCUUGUCACCUGACAGGGGGGUGGGGAAGCAGGCAGAUACAUGGGCCCUGCCUCCCCAGCCAGGCCAGGCAUAGGCGCAAGGACAGAGGCACUGACCAGGCCACCUCCCCAUAUCACCACCAUGAAGCUGCUUGUAGUGGCGGUGCUGCUCCUCACCAUCUCUGGCCUCAAAGUAGCCUUGGUCUGGAGGCAGGCGGAGGAGACGAGCCUGCAAAGCCUGUUCUCAGUACCUGCAAACCGUGACCGACUAUGGCAAGGACCUGGUUGAGAAGGUCAAGGGCCCAGAGGUCCGG